CUAAGAAUAUUCCGCAAUGGGGGGAAACCCUGACGGAGCAACGCCGCGUGGACGAUGAAGGCCGGAAGGUUGUAAAGUCCUUUUAUUAUUGAGGAAUAAGCAGGAGAGGGAAUGCUCCUGCGGUGACUGUAGGUAAUGAAUAAGCACCGGCUAAUUACGUGCCAGCAGCCGCGGUAAUACGUAAGGUGCGAGCGUUAUUCGGAAUUAUUGGGCGUAAAGGGCAUGUAGGCGGAACGGCAAGCUUGGUGUGAAAUGCCGGGGCUCAACCCCGGAACUGCAUUGAGAACUGCCGAACUUGAGUCAGCGAGGGGAACCGGAAUUCCAAGUGUAGGGGUGAAAUCUGUAGAUAUUUGGAAGAACACCAAUGGCGAAGGCAGGUUUCUAGCGUAUGACUGACGCUGAGGUGCGAAGGUGCGGGGAUCAAACAGGAUUAGAUACCCUGGUAGU
rnacentral:rRNA from 1 species